UUAAGCGACUAAGCGUACACGGUGGAUGCCCUGGCAGUCAGAGGCGAUGAAGGACGUGCUAAUCUGCGAAAAGCGCCGGCGAGGUGAUAUGAACCUUUGACCCGGCGAUGUCCGAAUGGGGAAACCCAGUGCAAUCCGUUGCACUAUCGUUAACUGAAUACAUAGGUUAACGAGGCGAACCGGGGGAACUGAAACAUCUAAGUACCCCGAGGAAAAGAAAUCAACCGAGAUUCCCCCAGUAGCGGCGAGCGAACGGGGAGCAGCCCGGAGUCUGAAUCAGCUUGUGUGUUAGUGGAACGGUCUGGAAAGUCCGACGGUACAGGGUGAUAGUCCCGUACACGAAAGCACACUUGCUGUGAACUCGAAGAGUAGGGCGGGACACGUGGUAUCCUGUCUGAAUAUGGGGGGACCAUCCUCCAAGGCUAAAUACUCCUGACUGACCGAUAGUGAACCAGUACCGUGAGGGAAAGGCGAAAAGAACCCCGGCGAGGGGAGUGAAAAAGAACCUGAAACCGUGUACGUACAAGCAGUGGGAGCCUCUUUAUGGGGUGACUGCGUACCUUUUGUAUAAUGGGUCAGCGACUUAUAUUCUGUAGCAAGGUUAACCGUAUAGGGGAGCCGAAGGGAAACCGAGUCUUAACUGGGCGUUAAGUUGCAGGGUAUAGACCCGAAACCCGGUGAUCUAGCCAUGGGCAGGUUGAAGGUUGGGUAACACUAACUGGAGGACCGAACCGACUAAUGUUGAAAAAUUAGCGGAUGACCUGUGGCUGGGGGUGAAAGGCCAAUCAAACCGGGAGAUAGCUGGUUCUCCCCGAAAGCUAUUUAGGUAGCGCCUCGUGAACUCAUCUUCGGGGGUAGAGCACUGUUUCGGCUAGGGGGCCAUCCCGGCUUACCAACCCGAUGCAAACUACGAAUACCGAAGAAUGUUAUCACGGGAGACACACGGCGGGUGCUAACGUCCGUCGUGAAGAGGGAAACAACCCAGACCGCCAGCUAAGGUCCCAAAGUCAUGGUUAAGUGGGAAACGAUGUGGGAAGGCACAGACAGCCAGGAUGUUGGCUUAGAAGCAGCCAUCAUUUAAAGAAAGCGUAAUAGCUCACUGGUCGAGUCGGCCUGCGCGGAAGAUGUAACGGGGCUAAACCAUGCACCGAAGCUGCGGCAGCGACACUAUGUGUUGUUGGGUAGGGGAGCGUUCUGUAAGCCGUUGAAGGUGUGCUGUGAGGCAUGCUGGAGGUAUCAGAAGUGCGAAUGCUGACAUAAGUAACGAUAAAGCGGGUGAAAAGCCCGCUCGCCGGAAGACCAAGGGUUCCUGUCCAACGUUAAUCGGGGCAGGGUGAGUCGACCCCUAAGGCGAGGCCGAAAGGCGUAGUCGAUGGGAAACAGGUUAAUAUUCCUGUACUUGGUGUUACUGCGAAGGGGGGACGGAGAAGGCUAUGUCAGCCGGGCGACGGUUGUCCCGGUUUAAGCAUGUAGGCGGAGGUUCCAGGUAAAUCCGGUACCUUGUUAACGCUGAGGUGUGAUGACGAGGCACUACGGUGCUGAAGUGAUAAAUGCCCUGCUUCCAGGAAAAGCCUCUAAGCAUCAGGUAACACGAAAUCGUACCCCAAACCGACACAGGUGGUCAGGUAGAGAAUACCAAGGCGCUUGAGAGAACUCGGGUGAAGGAACUAGGCAAAAUGGUGCCGUAACUUCGGGAGAAGGCACGCUGAUGUGUAGGUGAAGUCCCUGCGGACGGAGCUGAAAUCAGUCGAAGAUACCAGCUGGCUGCAACUGUUUAUUAAAAACACAGCACUGUGCAAACACGAAAGUGGACGUAUACGGUGUGACGCCUGCCCGGUGCCGGAAGGUUAAUUGAUGGGGUUAGCGGCAACGCGAAGCUCUUGAUCGAAGCCCCGGUAAACGGCGGCCGUAACUAUAACGGUCCUAAGGUAGCGAAAUUCCUUGUCGGGUAAGUUCCGACCUGCACGAAUGGCGUAAUGAUGGCCAGGCUGUCUCCACCCGAGACUCAGUGAAAUUGAACUCGCUGUGAAGAUGCAGUGUACCCGCGGCAAGACGGAAAGACCCCGUGAACCUUUACUAUAGCUUGACACUGAACACUGGUCCUUGAUGUGUAGGAUAGGUGGGAGGCUUUGAAGCGUGGACGCCAGUCUGCGUGGAGCCAACCUUGAAAUACCACCCUUUAAUGGCUGGUGUUCUAACGUAGACCCGUAAUCCGGGUUGCGGACAGUGUCUGGUGGGUAGUUUGACUGGGGCGGUCUCCUCCCAAAGAGUAACGGAGGAGCACGAAGGUUGGCUAAUCCUGGUCGGACAUCAGGAGGUUAGUGCAAUGGCAUAAGCCAGCUUGACUGCGAGCGUGACGGCGCGAGCAGGUGCGAAAGCAGGUCAUAGUGAUCCGGUGGUUCUGAAUGGAAGGGCCAUCGCUCAACGGAUAAAAGGUACUCCGGGGAUAACAGGCUGAUACCGCCCAAGAGUUCAUAUCGACGGCGGUGUUUGGCACCUCGAUGUCGGCUCAUCACAUCCUGGGGCUGAAGUAGGUCCCAAGGGUAUGGCUGUUCGCCAUUUAAAGUGGUACGCGAGCUGGGUUUAGAACGUCGUGAGACAGUUCGGUCCCUAUCUGCCGUGGGCGCUGGAGAAUUGAGGGGGGCUGCUCCUAGUACGAGAGGACCGGAGUGGACGCAUCACUGGUGUUCGGGUUGUCAUGCCAAUGGCACUGCCCGGUAGCUAAAUGCGGAAGAGAUAAGUGCUGAAAGCAUCUAAGCACGAAACUUGCCCCGAGAUGAGUUCUCCCUGAGACCUUGAGUCUCCUGAAGGAACGUUGAAGACGACGACGUUGAUAGGUCGGGUGUGUAAGCGCAGCGAUGCGUUGAGCUAACCGAUACUAAUGAACCGUGAGGCUUAACCUU
rnacentral:rRNA from 3 species